rnacentral:misc_RNA from 1 species
GAUGAAGAACGUAGCAAAAUGCGAUAAGUAAUGUGAAUUGCAGAAUUCAGUGAAUCAUCGAAUCUUUGAACGCACAUUGCGCCCGCUGGUAUUCCGGCGGGCAUGCCUGUUCGAGCGUCAUUUCAACCCUCAAGCCCCCGGGUUUGGUGUUGGGGAUCGGCUCUGCCCUUCUGGGCGGUGCCGCCCCCGAAAUACAUUGGCGGUCUCGCUGCAGCCUCCAUUGCGUAGUAGCUAACACCUCGCAACUGGAACGCGGCGCGGCCGUGCCGUAAAACCCCAACUUCUGAAUGUUGACCUCGGAUCAGGUAGGAAUACCCGCUGAACUUAAGCAUAUCAAUAAGCGGAGGA